AUUGAACGCUGGCGGCAGGCCUAACACAUGCAAGUCGAGCGGCAGCGGGAAAGUAGCUUGCUACUUUUGCCGGCGAGCGGCGGACGGGUGAGUAAUGCCUGGGGAUCUGCCCAGUCGAGGGGGAUAACUACUGGAAACGGUAGCUAAUACCGCAUACGCCCUACGGGGGAAAGCAGGGGACCUUCGGGCCUUGCGCGAUUGGAUGAACCCAGGUGGGAUUAGCUAGUUGGUGAGGUAACGGCUCACCAAGGCGACGAUCCCUAGCUGGUCUGAGAGGAUGAUCAGCCAAACUGGAACUGAGACACGGUCCAGACUCCUACGGGAGGCAGCAGUGGGGAAUAUUGCACAAUGGGGGAAGCCCUGAUGCAGCCAUGCCGCGUGUGUGAAGAAGGCCUUCGGGUUGUAAAGCACUUUCAGCGAGGAGGAAAGGUUGGUAGCUAAUAACUGCCAGCUGUGAUGUUACUCGCAGAAGAAGCACCGGCUAACUCCGUGCCAGCAGCCGCCGCCGUAA
rnacentral:rRNA from 1 species